UCACACCAUUGGCCUCAGCCCAUGAUCCAGCCUGCCCAGAUCCCUCUGCAGAGCCUCCCUGCCCUCCAGCAGAUCAGCACUCCCACCCAGCUUGGUGUCACUAGCAAACUGACAUGCAUCUUCCCUGUCCCGGUCACAAAUAAAGGUAUUAAACAAGAGUGGCCCCACCACUGAGCUCUGGGUACCACCACCUGUGACUGGCCACCAGCUGGAGGGGGAUGAACUGCUGUCUUCAAGCACUUAAUUUCAGUUUUGUUAGUGAGCAUGGGCCAGUGUAGAAAGAGACUGCAGCUGUAUUAUUGUGGAGGUUGCUCUACUGCUAUUGUAAUUCCCAGGAUUAAAGUCUUGUAUGGAAACACUAUUCCCCUAAACUGUACUGGUAUACCAACCAGCAGGAACACAGAGAGGGAGUUGCUUCCCAGUUCAACAGACUUUUCAAGACAA